rnacentral:lncRNA from 1 species
UAGCCAGCUCUGAUAGCGAGGGUGGGGACAAAGAGCAGUUGGAAGGGCCAGCAUCUGAGUUGGAGUCCAGCAGUGCCCAGUAGCUUCCACAGCUGAGCAUGGGAGGGGAACCUUUGGAGAAAGCUACAACUUCCCACCCUGCAGAUCAAGAACAAGCAAGUGCAUCUGGGCAUUUCCUAAAGUUGGACGGAGAGGAUGUCUUCUGUGUAUCGAGGCGGGCGCUGCUGCCACCCCUUCUCAAUGAGCCCCCUGGUUUCUGUGCCUGACUGCCCUGGCCAUCCUCUUUCACUGGUCUUCUAAUAUGACUCCAUGGACAUUGCACUGGAUGACUAAAAGAUUCCAAGAGAGAACAUUUUAAUGAAAUCUGCAAAUAAUCAAAUCUACAAAAGUUAAAGACCAUACAUGUGGAAGGUUUAUAGUACAUGCAGAAGUAGAGAAUGGCAUCUUAAAAGGAGUUACUGAACAGUUAAAGGAACAAAGGUUUGGGUUCCCCCCUUCUCUUGUGAAAGAUGUAAACAGAUUUGCUGACAAGUUUAUGUAGAGAGAAAAGUCAUUUCUGGAAGCACUAUGAAAAUCUAAUGAAUAGAUGAAAGUGUUUUGUUGAUUAUGUAUUUAUUAAGGAUUGAGAAUUCUGGGGGAAAUGAUCUAAAAGCAAGAAAGCAGUGAACAAAAGGAAAAGCGUUCCCUUGAAGAGUGACAAGCAGUCACACAGAGAUGGUUUCAAUUGAAGUGCUAACAGCUCCUGCAGGUGGGAAUGAGCAAACAGAGAGGUACCCAGGCUGAAAACAGGAGGAAAUCAACACCUUUUGGUUUCUCUCUUGAGAAAAAAAAACCACU